rnacentral:rRNA from 1 species
UACGGGGGGGGGCAAGCGUUGUUCGGAAUUACUGGGCGUAAAGGGUCUGUAGGUGGCCAACUAAGUCAGACGUGAAAUCCCUCAGCUUAACUGGGGAACUGCGUCUGAUACUGGUUGGCUUGAGUGCAGGAGAGGAAUGCGGAAUUCCAGGUGUAGCGGUGAAAUGCGUAGAUAUCAGGAGGAACACCGGUGGCGAAGGCGGGUCUCUGGGCCGAUACUGACGCUGAGGAGCGAAAGCGUGGGGAGCGAACAGG